rnacentral:lncRNA from 10 species
AAUCUUCUCAAACAUUUUAUUGGAAGAACACAAAUAUUUUAUAAAAUGCAAGAAACCAAAGUGACAAACACUUUGAAAACACAGAAAUGAGGCCGAUUGAGGUGAACUCAAUGGCAGGACUUCUAAAUUACAUUAUCUGUAGUGAAAAAGUAUUAACGAGACUUAACAGGUUGUCACUCAUUCUUCAGUCUAAUUUCAAGAGCAUGACUGGCUCAACUAGGGUGAGGUGAAAGGUACCAAACCAAGUAGCUAUGGCCAGUCACAUAGGAAACAGAAGGGUGUGGAAAGGUCUCAGAGAAAAGCUGCUUCCUGGACAGACCAAUCAGCCUGAGACUGCUGCCUUCCACCCCAGUACAUAGAUACAGUACAUACAUGUUUUGACCCGUCCCCGUAUGUAAAAUAUUUAAAACCAUCUCUUGAGUAAGUACUAAAGCACAUAUCAUGAACAAUGAAAACAACCCAAAGUCCAAGCCAAUCCCAAAGUCAAUUCCUGUUUGUAUGUAUAAAUAGCUGGUGUCAUGGGGCCAUUCCUUGAGACAAAGUCCUCCAGAUGAAGUGCAUGGCUUCUGUAGAACUGUUGGAUUUGAUGAAAUUCAAAAACCUAUGGACUAAACGUUAACCUUAAACACUGCCAAUGUAAAAUACUACAUGUAAAUUGAAGAAUCAAGGCAAAAAAUAAUAUGGAAGCAGUAAUGGCAUUACCCAUUUCCCAUGGAGAACCAUUCUCCUUUCCUUGUGUUCUAAAAUCUAAAAACAUUUGGUGAGGAGAAUUCAUCUGUAAUCAUAAAAAGUUCUAUGCUUACCUCUAACCCCAGGUUCCCAGAUCCACCAUUUCUGGACUUUGGAGAAGCACAGGUGCUUGUUUUCUGGCUUAAAUUAUAUUCCACAUCCUGUAGAUCAGCAUGUUGACUGCAGAACUAGUAGUCCAAGCUGACACUGGAGUGGAGUCUACAACAGGCCUUUCUAGCAUUCUGUAAGGCAUCAUGUCUGACUGAUGGGGAGACCGGGAAAAUCCAUGAAUCCCACUAGGAUUCACUGAAUACAGCCCACUGCUAUUCUUUUCUCAAAUUAAGCAGCACUACACUAGGUUUGCAUGUGAAUACGAAGGUACAAAGAAAGCUCAGAAGACCAACACAAAUCUAAACUGUUGGGUGGCCACCCUGGCAGCUGUCAGCAAUCCAUAUACUGCAUGACUGGAGUCAGCACAAUGGGCUGAGAGGACAAACUCCAAUCCAGAGGGAUCUGGAGGAACUGAUUCAAACUGUAUGGGAGUGCAUACAUUUUGCACAUUCUUUCAUACCUUUUGGAGAGGCCCAUGCACUAAAUAUCCAGAAGAGAGGAACUGGGUCCUCAUCUACAGCCAAAAAUUCUAUCAGGCGGUAGAUAUAACAAGUCAUACAAAGUAAAUGUCUGUCUACUACAGGAAACCAAACCUCUGCUCAUUUAGGACUCAAGGACAGGAGGAUAUGAGAUAAAUUGUACAGCCCCACUUGUCAACAGACCAUUGACAUCAACAUGUCAAUUUAAGCCAUCUGUAAACAAGGCUAAUGGUUUGAUUCCUCACUCCAACUGGUUAUAAAGAACCCUUCAUAAAAACACUGGUAUGGGUAAAAGCAUGCACAGGCUAGAAAAUGGGCAAGUGCUCAUACUUAUUAUUUGUCCUUGAGGUCCUGUUUGCACAAGUCCCACAUGAGGAACUUCUCUGCACAUGCCUGGCUUGAGCAAGGACACAGGAGUCAUCAUUGUGAAGGGCAAAUUGGGGGAACUGGUAUCACAUGGCAGCAUGUUGAAAGGGCAAAUACAAAGGAAAAUAAGAAAUAAAAGUUUAAAUCUCCCUGGUGAAAAAAGAAUAGACCUAACAAUUCCCUUUUUUAAGAAGAUUUACUUUGGAAAACUUGUAAAUUCUUCCUCUGCUUCUUUGCAAAGCAUGCAAAUCUUUUUGAAAGCUAAGUAAGCCUCUUGCCAAUUUUACAAUCAUGAAUAAAAGGGGACAGGCAGCCAAAAUAAUUGGCAGGCAUGAGAACAAGGUAAAGAGGAAACUUAAGCAGUUGAAACUAGAACCUCAGCUCAGCCCUCCUGAGAAACAUAGAAGGAAAUGCACAUCACAGGCAGUGUCCAGAAUGCCAAUAAAGCUACAAGAGAACACCCUGGAUUAUUAACAAGAUGAGGGUAUACAGCCUAUCAGUGAGGAUACAACAGCAUCAGCAAAAGUAACAGCAGUAACUUUGCAGAAGUCCUCCACAUUAUAGCACUAUGUAACAAUAUAAGAGGGAGAAGCGCCACCUACCUCUGUGGCCAUUUUUCACAGGCUUAAAGCAAUACACAGAAGAAGGCUGAGGCAGCAACGCCUUCACCAACAGACAAGGCCACCACUCACUGGGAAAACGGAAAAUAACAACCUGUCCCCAUCAUCCAUGUGUGACGUUUGCCAGUGGGCACUAUAUGCACAUAUCACAGCCUUUGAUGUGCAUUGUUGUCCUGUGUCCUCCAGGUAUGCUGCUCCAAAGGUACUGUGAGAAAGGGGAAAAAGGACAGAAGGCACUUCCCUGAAUCCUAAUGCCCAUUGCAACGUUCACAUCAAAGACCCUUGUCCUCUGAACUGUCUGUAUUUUCCUCAUGUGCAGGAGAUUCUUGACAUUCCUGCUUGAACUGUUAGGUAGACUGAAGUAGGGAAACCCGCUCCUCUUCUCAAAUUGUGGAAAAGGAUUGGCAGCAAAAAUGUAUGGCCUGCACAAGAACUAGGUAAAGAGAAAAUAACUUAAGCAGUUGAAACCAGGAUCUCAGCUCAGCCCUCCUGAGAAAGAUAGAGGGAAAUGUGUAUCACAGGCAGUGCUCAAGACUUGCAAAAAAGCUAUAGGAAAACACCCUGGAUUAUCACCAAGGUGAAGGCACAUAGUGCGUCGCAUCAGUAUGGAUACAACAAAUCAGCAAAAGCAAGAGCAGUAACAUUGCAGGAGUCCUCCACAUUAUAGUACUGUGUAACAAUAUAAGUGAGUGAAGGGUCACCUAUCUCUGUGGCCAUUUUUCACAGGCCUUUAGCAAUACACAAAAGAAGGCUGAUGCAGCAACGCCUUCACCAACAGACAAGCCCACCACUCAGUGGGAAAUGGAAAAUAAGAACCUGCCCCCAUCAUCCAUGUGUGACGUUUGCCAGUAGACCAUGUAUGCUCAUAUCACAUCAGUCGAUAUGCAUUGUUGUCCUGUGUCCUCUAGCCAUGCUGCUCCAAAGGUACUGUCAGGGAAGAGGAAAAGGGACAGGAGGCACUUCGCUGAACCCUAAUGCCCACUGUAACUAUCACAUCAAAGUCCCUAGUCCUCUAAACUGUCUGUAUUUUCCUCAUAUGCAGGAGAUUCUUGACAUGUCUGCUUGACCUGUUAGGUAGCCUGAAGCAGGGAAACCCUCUGCCCUCCCCUGCUCAAAUUGUGGAAAAGGAUUGACAGCAAAAAUGUUUGGCCUGCAUGAGAACUAAGUAAAGAGAAAAUAACUUAAGCAGUUGAAACCAGCAUCUCAGCUCAGCCCUCCUGAGAAUGAUAGCGGGAAAUGCGUAUCACAGGCAGUGCUCAAGACUUGAAAUAAAGCUAUUGGAGAACACCCUGGAUUAUGACCAAGAUGAGGGCAUACAGUGCAUCCCAUUCGUGUGGAUACAACAGCAUCAGCAAAAGCAACAGUAGUAACUUUGCAGAAGUUCUCCACAUUAUAGUACUAUGUAACAGUAUAAUUGAGUGAAGGGUCACCUACCUCUGUGGCCAUUUUUUACAGGCCUAAAGUAAUACACAGAAGAAGGCUGAGGCAGCAAUGCCUUCACCAACAGACAAGUCCACCACACACUGGGAAAAUGGAAAAUAACCUGUCCCCAUCAUUCAUGCCUGACGUUUGCCAGUGGGCCAUGUAUGCUCGUAUGACAUCUGUGGAUGUGCAAUGUUGUCCUGUGUCCUCCAGUCAUGGUACUCCAAAUGUACUGUGAGGGAAGGGAAAAAGGGAAUUGGGGGCACUUCCCUGAACCCUAGUGCCCACUGCAACUUUCAUAUCAAAGUCCCUAGUCCUUGAACUGUCUGUGUUUUCCUCAUAUGCAGCAGAUUCUUGACAUUCCUGCUUGACCUGUUAGGUAGCCUGAAGUAGAGAAACUUCUGUGCCCUCUUCUUUUCUAAUUGUGGAAAAGGAUUGGCGGCAAAAAUGUAUGACCUGCAUGAGCACUAGGUAAAGAGAAAAUAACUUAAGCAGUUGAAACGAGCAUCUCAGCUCAGCCCUCUUGAGUAAGAUAACGGGAAAUGCGUAUCACAGGUAGUGCUCACGACUUGCAAUAAACCUAUGGGAGAACACUCUGGAUUAUGACCAAGAUGAGUGCCUACAGUGUAUGGCAUCAGUGAGGAUACAACAGCAUCAGCAAAAGUGACAGCAGUAACUUUGCAGAAGUCCAUCACAUUAUUGAACUACGUGACCAUAUAGAAGCCCAUCAUUCACUGAGGAUAUGGAAAAUAAUGACCUGUCCCUUUCAUCAAUGUCUCAACUUUGCAAUGGGCCAUAUAUGCUCAUAGGACAUUUAUCGAUGUGCAUUGUUUUCCUCUGUCAUAUUCUGGAGAUUCCUUGCAUUCCUGCUUGAAUUCUUAGGUAGCCUGAAAUACGGAAAGCAGUGUGCCCUCCCCUCCUCAAACUGUGGCUUCCCCUUAUCCUGUAACAGCUGCAGUAGCUGGAGUACUAUACAAGAUGUAUAAAUCCCUCACGGUUGUGUCUGUAACACUCUCUGCUUGAAAGCACAGGCAAGGUCAUUUUGAGACCAUGUAAUUUCCCCUCUGAGAGGACCAAAUGGCAGAUGGGUCAGAUCACCAAGUGGCAACAGCUUAUAAACAGGGAAACUGACACCUACAGCCUUGAGGUAGGUGCCAUUUUCAGCAUGAGGAAUAGGAGAGAUUAAGCUGCUAGCCUGGAUACCUGACAUGGGAGCUUCCUGAACACUCAGGCUCUUCUACAGAUACCUAUGAGGAUCAAAAUUUCACCAGCUUCAUGUACUGGUCAUUGACAGGAACCACAUGACUUUUCUGUCCCCACCAAUGUGCAGAGUAUGAUCAAUGGAAGAGUGCAAGAAGCUAAAACAGAGAAAUGCUUGAAUAAACUUCAACUGCGUUCCUAUUCACUGAAUCAGGGGUCCUCAUGAUGCCUGACAUGCCAUUCCUCUUCACAGUGGAAACCAUGCAGUUCAGCACAUUAGUGUCUGAGCACAGAAUCCUGACAGAAGGCCAUCACCAGUUUCUUCUCUAGACCCCAAAUUUCCCGUGCCCAGAAUGCUGCCAAUGCCAGUGUGUGUUUCCUGUAUUACCUUGCACAGGCAUUCGAACCAUUGGAGCAUGGAAGAAAAAAGUUACUGGGUCAUAUGUUAGAAGAACAUAUCAGCAACAGCAUGUCACUUUCCUAAUUCUCUGCUGGUGAACACAGCUCACUACAGAUAUGAAAGACUGUGUGCUCAACUCAACCAAGACUGACAGCUUCCCAGAAACACUCGCAGUUGCUUCUCAGAUAUCUCCCUCAGAUUGCUCUACUAAGCUACAGUAAAAGAGGUAUAGCUCACCUUUUCCUGAGCCAUUUUUCACAGGCUAAGGGUAUACACAGAAGCUAAGCCUUCACCAGUAGCCAAGUCUGGAAUUCUCAAGGAUAAUGGAAAGUAAGGUUCUAUCCCCAUCAUAAAAGUCCUGUCUUUGCCAAAAGGUAUACUUCUCACGUUACACUCAACAAUAUGCUUUGUUGUGGUGCCAGGCAUGGAGAAGGGAGUAGGAAACACUCCCUUGAAUGCAGAGUGCCCAGGGCAACUUUCCCACCAGAGUCCCUUGGCCUCAACCUCUAGGAAGCAGCUCCACACAAUGCCACUGCUUACAGCCCCUUUCCCACCUCUAGCCUGUAGGCCCCUGGUGAAGGGAAGAUGUGUCACUCCAUCUUUCCUGAUCAGAGAAGCCCUUCCCCUUUUCUGAGCCUCUAACCUCUAUAAUUCUUGUUAUUAAAACAACAGAUAAAAUGGCUGGGGAUCCAUGAAAUCCAUUUACUUCAAAACAUAUUGUCCCUUCUUUUCACAAGCAUUUUUACCAUCUGUUAUCUCUACAACUGCAAAAUCACCUUGUGUGUCCUCUGGACAAUUAUAUUGACUGGAAAGUGAAGAGGAGAUAGAGGUUGGGGUAACUAAUGCUUUUUUCUAGCAACAAAAACAUACUUUAAAAGGCUUCUUACAGCUUAUGAUAAAUCCCACAGAAUUCAAGGCCAGUUAAAACCUAGAUCUGAGUCCCUCUCCACCAGCACUCACAAUAUUUUGGCUGUGAUGCCAUGUCAAGGUAAGUAUAUGUUCUGUAGUCAUUAAUGUUCUUUGAAAAACAGAGAAAAUAGCAGUAUUUAAUACACAUUUUUAUAGGAUUAGAUAAGAAACUUCUCGGUUUUAGUAAGGAUUUUAUCAGUGGUAGCUUUGGCUGAUUUGUUUUAGCAUCAUUACCACCACUCUCAUCAUCACCAUCGCCAUUAUAUCUUCCUUUCUAGUAGAAUAAGAUGUCUCUCAAAAUGACCAUUGUUGUCCCAGUUACACUACUGGAUGCAUUUAACAGGGAACUAGUAUAACAAGGAAUACAAUCAGUUGCAUUUUUCUCACUGGCUAAUAUCUCCCACUUGUGGCUGGCCCUUAUGCUCCAAAAUAACAUGUUGGGCACUAAGAAGACUCAAGUUGGCAUUUAAGUUAGGAGAGACAAGCCUUCAAUUCCCAGGGAUAAAAAUGUCCCUUUCUCAUGACUACAAAAUAAAAAAAAAAUUGUAUCAAAGACUUUUUCAAAUUUCUGAGUGUGAGAGCAUAAAUUUACUUGAUAAAAAUUAAUGUCAAGAGUCCUAAUUUUUUAAAAAUGGGUAUUGUCAAGGAACAGCCUAACUGGAAAUGAU